CACAACGUUGCCUCAACGUAGCGACCUUCCUACAACGUUGUACCAACCUUGCAAAAAGGUUGAGGAUUCUACGUUGUUGCUAAACGUUGUCACAACGAUGUCAUAAGGUUGCCAUUUAAACAUCACGAGGGCCGCAUACUUUAGGUUGUGCUUAGGUGGCGUGGACAACCACUGUACAACAUUUACUGGUCACAGCUGAAUCAGUUUAAAUUUCAACAAGCCGUCGUCUCAUUCAUCAACGACCGAGGAGACGCUAUUUUCACAUGGAGGUAAUCUUCUAUUGAUAAUUUCUGGAUUUUAAGUAUGUGUAAGUUGCAUAAAACUCUAUUGCUUAACCACUCACUGUUGUUUUCAAAUUACUCGUGUAACUUGUCUUUCAGAAUGGUUUCAGCUGUUGAAUUCACCUCAGAUCAGUGUUGCUGUAAUUCCCGAUCUAUGGAAAGAAUAAUUGAAUGAGCGAGCAACGCCACAACUACAGGACCUCUUCUUUCUCUUCUCAUAAUUUAAGUAAGUAUUGGGAGACUAACUCUGUUAACUCAAACCUGUUUUCCCUGUAUCUCUAAAUUUAUUUAAUUGUAUGUGAUUUUGGUAUAUGAUAUACUAUUAAAGCAUUAAAAUAAAGUAGGCUACAUAAUUACUCACUGGAGAUUUUCUAUGUAAUGAAAUUACAAUAAAUGUCUGAAACUUCAAUAACUUGCUAGUCAUAGUCGUUUCCAUCUGUCCUCUCUUGUUCACUGCCUAUUUUGACUUGUGUCUGCUGUGGAUCUCUGAAGCUGGAUUAUCUGUUGAAUUUGU